GACCCGUUAGUCUAGGGGUCAGGACGCUGGAUUUUGACGACUUUGUACGUCUUCCGGAAACAUCAGUUCGAAUCUGGUACGGGUCU